rfam:Schistosoma haematobium scaffold9_25, whole genome shotgun sequence.
AUCCAACUGAUGAGUCUCAAAAAGGACGAAAUGUGCAUCUUAGAU